rnacentral:ncRNA from 1 species
GUGAAAACUGUGAUAGGGAAAGUAGACAUUCUUCAUAUUCUUAGAGAGUGGGGACGGUGUAAACCCAUAAAUGGUUAAUGUUGAAACUCACCCUUGAGUUGUAAGCUGAAAUUAUAUGGUUUAUAUAUUAUAUAUAAAUCAUAUAGGUAAGCCGUGCCGGUAUAUAUUAAUUAUACACCGUUAUAAAACGAAGAUAAAAAAAUGGGUGGUACCGCGAUAGACUUUUCGCCCCAAUG